rnacentral:rRNA from 1 species
GAUGAACGCUAGCGGCAGGCCUAACACAUGCAAGUCGAGGGGUAGAAUUAGCUUGCUAAUUUGAGACCGGCGCACGGGUGCGUAACGCGUAUGCAAUCUACCUUGUACAGGGGGAUAGCCCAGAGAAAUUUGGAUUAAUACCCCAUGGUAUAAUUAAUUUGCAUGAAUUGAUUAUUAAAGUUCCAACGGUACAAGAUGAGCAUGCGUCCCAUUAGCUAGUUGGUGUGGUAACGGCAUACCAAGGCGACGAUGGGUAGGGGUCCUGAGAGGGAGAUCCCCCACACUGGUACUGAGACACGGACCAGACUCCUACGGGAGGCAGCAGUGAGGAAUAUUGGUCAAUGGUCGGAAGACUGAACCAGCCAUGCCGCGUGCAGGAAGAAGCAUCUAUGGUGUGUAAACUGCUUUUGUACGGGAAGAAACACUCCUACGUGUAGGAGCUUGACGGUACCGUAAGAAUAAGGAUCGGCUAACUCCGUGCCAGCAGCCGCGGUAAAACG